UGGGGAAUAUUGCGCAAUGGGGGGAACCCUGACGCAGCCAUGCCGCGUGAAUGAAGAAGGCCUUAGGGUUGUAAAGUUCUUUCGGUAUUGAGGAAGGUUGAUGUGUUAAUAGCACAUCAAAUUGACGUUAAAUACAGAGGAAGCACCGGCUAACUCCGUGCCAGCAGCCGCGGUAAUACGGAGGGUGCGAGCGUUAAUCGGAAUAACUGGGCGUAAAGGGCACGCAGGCGGUUAUUUAAGUGAGGUGUGAAAGCCCCGGGCUUAACCUGGGAAUUGCAUUUCAGACUGGGUAACUAGAGUACUUUAGGGAGGGGUAGAAUUCCACGUGUAGCGGUGAAAUGCGUAGAGAUGUGGAGGAAUACCGAAGGCGAAGGCAGCCCCUUGGGAAUGUACUGACGCUCAUGUGCGAAAGCGUGGGGAGCAAACAGGAUUAGAUACCCUGGUAGUCCACGCUGUAAACGCUGUCGAUUUGGGGGUUGGGGUUUAACUCUGGCGCCCGUAGCUAACGUGAUAAAUCGACCGCCUGGGGAGUACGGCCGCAAGGUUA
rnacentral:rRNA from 1 species